rnacentral:rRNA from 1 species
AGUGAACGCUGGCGGUAGGCCUAACACAUGCAAGUCGAACGGCAGCACAGUAAGAGCUUGCUCUUACGGGUGGCGAGUGGCGGACGGGUGAGGAAUACAUCGGAAUCUACUUUUUCGUGGGGGAUAACGUAGGGAAACUUACGCUAAUACCGCAUACGACCUACGGGUGAAAGCAGGGGAUCUUCGGACCUUGCGCGAUUGAAUGAGCUGAUGUCGGAUUAGCUAGUUGGCGGGGUAAAGGCCCACCAAGGCGACGAUCCGUAGCUGGUCUGAGAGGAUGAUCAGCCACACUGGAACUGAGACACGGUCCAGACUCCUACGGGAGGCAGCAGUGGGGAAUAUUGGACAAUGGGCGCAAGCCUGAUCCAGCCAUACCGCGUGGGUGAAGAAGGCCUUCGGGUUGUAAAGCCCUUUUGUUGGGAAAAAAAAGCAGCAGGUUAAUACCCCGCUGUUCUGACGGUACCCAAAGAAUAAGCACCGGCUAACUUCGUG